AGUGAACGCUGGCGGUAGGCCUAACACAUGCAAGUCGAACGGCAGCACAGUAAGAGCUUGCUCUUACGGGUGGCGAGUGGCGGACGGGUGAGGAAUACAUCGGAAUCUACUUUUUCGUGGGGGAUAACGUAGGGAAACUUACGCUAAUACCGCAUACGACCUACGGGUGAAAUCAGGGGAUCUUCGGACCUUGCGCGUUUGAAUGAGCCGAUGUCGGAUUAGCUAGUUGGCGGGGUAAAGGCCCACCAAGGCGACGAUCCGUAGCUGGUCUGAGAGGAUGAGCAGCCACACUGGAACUGAGACACGGUCCAGACUCCUACGGGAGGCAGCAGUGGGGAAUAUUGGACAAAGGGCGCAAGCCUGAUCCAGCCAUACCGCGUGGGUGAAGAAGGCCUUCGGGUUGUAAAGCCCUUUUGUUGGGAAAGAAAAGCAGCAGGUUAAUACCCCGCUGUUCUGACGGUACCCAAAGAAUAAGCACCGGCUAACUUCGUG
rnacentral:rRNA from 1 species